AAAGCUGAGGUUCAGAGAGGUGGGGGGGGGUGCUUUUCCAUUCAAUAAACUAGGGCAAAAACCAAGCUCACCUGAAUUCAAACCCCAGGACAUCCACUGAAGAGUUUAGGGCCAGUCAUUUCCUGUGGACCUCUUGCUUCUCCUAUAACAUCAGGGUGUUGGGUGAUUUAAUAUGGUUUGCCUCUUGGUCCCAACAUUUCUGUGUUCUUUCCACUGUACUGUAUCUUUGAUUUCAUUCAUUCAUCUGUUCAUUGACUCAUUCAUCCCAUGAUAAGGAGUGGUUGGAAGCAGCUGCCCAUCAGGGAUCGUAUUUAUCAGCCUGCUCCCCUUGCCUUCUCAGCCCUUAUAUGUGGCUGGAGCCACUUCUUACCAGUGGGGCCUGACUGGAAGAGAAGCAUGUCGCUUCCGGGCAGAAAUGAUUAGGGACUGGUCUUUGCAAAGGCCCAGAGAUAAGGGACGGCAUGACUUGUUCAAGGAAUUUGGUGGCUGCCGAGGAGGAUGGAAAGGCUUUUCCUCAGCCUCAAAUCUUCACAAAAGAAGGAAGAAAAACAAGAGAGCCUCCCUUCUCUCAAACUUGUCUAAUCCUUUCAUAAUUCAAGAUCACAGAGCUGCUGUAAAAACUCAGCCUCACUGCUGUGCUUUUUCCCUGUGUGCUUGGCAGAGCAAAGCAAUUCCAUUUGCCAGCACUCCAGCGAGCGUGUGGUGAUAAAUAAAGCUGCCACCCUCUGCUUGCCCACCGUGUUUAAAAUGACACAUUGGACAAGUGGGUCUCUAUUGCCUCCACUUUUUUCAUAAAAAGGCUAAAAAUGGUCUGCAAAUGCAGUAAAUCUUAAUUUCUCAUAUAAACUCCAAACAGAAAAAAAAUAUCAUAGGCCAGUUUAGACUGCAGUGACUUUGAUGAUCAGCUAGUGAGGAUUUGAAUACUAAAGAGAGAAGGCAAUCUGAAAACUAGCUCCAGUAGCCUCCUGGAUGUGUGGGGUUUCUCCUUUUCUCUCCUUAAAGCAAGCUUGCUUUCUCCCCAUGCAACAUUAUUGGAACCUAAAAACAUAAGUGCAGGGAGAGCGAAGUCAACAUAAAAAAAAGCUGUUUCUAACUGCAGAAUUCCAGAAUUUCAAAAUGACCUCUUGUUGUGGCUAUGCAUGCUAAUAAUUACCUUUUAUUGAACAGUUACUGUAUGACA